ensembl:lncRNA
CGGAAGAAGAGGCAGUGUGACUAGAGUACAGACUGCCAGGGAACCAACAGAAACUUUGUUUCCAAGAAUUUAGGAACUGGGGAUUUAGCACAGUGGUUCCACCGCCUGCCUCGCAAGCGCAAGGACUUGAGUUCGAUCCCUGUUACUACUGCAAAUUUCCAUAGACUCAGUCAUGCUCUCUGAAUACUUCCGUCCUCGUCCUGAAAAGAUGAAUUUAGAAUCCCUGUCAUCAAGAUAAUCAAGUAAGGGGCUGGGGAUUUAGUUCAGUGGUUCCACUGCCUGCCUCACAGGCACAAGGUCCGGAGUUCGAUCCCUGGUACCAAAAAAUCAUCAUCAUCAUCAUCAUCAUCAAACUCAAUGUUCCUCCUAUGAUCUGGAUUUUCCAUAGAAGAAGUGUUAUAGGAGUCCUCCAGGAUACAACUAGGCUUCAAUCAAAACAGAGAAAUAAAUAAAACACAUGGUAAAGGAGUUCCAACCAAGAGAGGAAGCAAGAUAGCAAAAUAGCAGCACUCCAAACUCACUUGCUCCUCUAUGGGGAUAGACCUAAGCAACAGAGGAGCUACAGUCUUCACCAUCACCUCCGGACAUCCAUCUUCAG